UACGAAGGGGGCUAGCGUUGCUCGGAAUCACUGGGCGUAAAGCGCACGUAGGCGGCUCUUUAAGUCAGGGGUGAAAUCCUGGAGCUCAACUCUAGAACUGCCUUUGAUACUGGGGAUCUCGAGUCCGGAAGAGGUGAGUGGAACUCCGAGUGUAGAGGUGAAAUUCGUAGAUAUUCGGAAGAACACCAGUGGCGAAGGCGGCUCACUGGUCCGGUACUGACGCUGAGGUGCGAAAGCGUGGGGAGCAAACAGG
rnacentral:rRNA from 1 species